GUCGCAUGGCCAACCGAGGAAACGCUCCGGUGCUCCGGGAGGGCCUCGCGGCCUAUCAGCUUGUUGGUGGGGUAACGGCCUACCAAGGCAUCGACGGGUAGCUGGUCUGAGAGGACGAUCACCACCCUGGGACUUAGACCCGGCCCAGACUCCUACGGGAGGCAGCAGUGGGGAAUAUUGCGCAAUGGGCGAAAGCCUGACGCAACAACGCCGCGUGGGGGAUGAAGGCCUUCGGGUUGUUAACCCCUUUCAGCAGGGGCGAAAAUGACGGUACCUGCAGAAGAAGCCCCGGCCAACUUCGUGCCAGCAACCGCGGUAACACGUAGGGGGCAAGCGUUGUCCGGAUUUAUUGGGCGUAAAGAGCUUGUAGGCGGUUGCGUAAGUCGGAUGUGAAAACUCAGGGCUCAACCCGGAGACGCCAUCCGAUUCUGCGCUGACUAGAGUCCGGUAGAGGAGCAUGGAAUUCCUGGUGUAACGGUGAAAUGCGCAGAUAUCAGGAGGAACCCCAGUGGCGAAGGCGGUGCUUUGGGCCGGCCCUGACCCUGAGGAGCGAAAGCGUGGGUAGCGAACAGGAUUAGAUACCCUGGUAGUC
rnacentral:rRNA from 1 species